rnacentral:rRNA from 1 species
UCUUUCUAGAUACACUUUCCAGUACAUCUACUAUGUUACAACUUAUCUUAUUUUAAAAAUAAGAACGAUGGGCGAUAUGUACAUGUUUUAGAGCUAAAAUCAUAUAAAUAAUCUAUUUUAUAUUACUAUUAAAUCCACCUUCAAAUUUUUGUUUCAAAAAAUUAUUCAUUUAAAUAAAUUUAUUGUAAUCCAUCUCUACUUAAAUAUAAACUGCACCUUGAUCUGACAUUUUAUUUAAUAAAAUAUUAAGAAAAUUAAAUCUUAUAACAUAUUCUGAUGACGACGAUAUACAAAUUAAACAAAUUUAAGUAAGGUUCAAUGUGAAUUAUCAAUUACAGGACAGAUUCCUCUAAAUAGACUAAAACACCGCCAAAUUUUUUAAAUUUUAAGAAUAUAACUAAUACUACUUUAGCAUUUUAAUAUUUAUUUUUAAUAAUAGGGUAUCUAAUCCUAGUUUAUUACAAAAAGUUUAUAGCUUAAAUUAUUUUUUUAAAUAAUAAAUUAAUAAAUUUAAAAAUUUCACCUAAUAAAUUUAUAUUUAUAUUAUAAAAA